CCCGCCCCCCGCCCCCCAGGACACGUAGUCUCCGUAGCAUCUUCAUGGAAGACGUGGGGAUGCACCUUAUCUCAGCAUCCGCCUUCCUUUUCCUUCUUUUCUUGUUCAAAUUGCAGAGAAGCAACAAGAGGAAUCUCCCACCGAGCCCGCCUUCACUCCCUAUCAUCGGCCACCUCCUCCUUAUUAAAGAGCCAGUCCACCGGACCCUUCAGUCUCUCUCCGACCGCUACGGCCCGGUCCUCUCCCUCUCCUUUGGCUCCCGCUCCGUGGUUGUCAUAUCCUCCCCAUCCGCGGCCGAGGAGUGCUUUACCAGAAAUGACAUCAUCCUCGCCAACCGCCCCCGCCUGCUCUUUGCUGAGAUUAUGUUCUAUGGUGGCACGACCAUCGGCACUGCCCCUUACGGGCCCCACUGGCGCAACCUCCGCCGCCUCACGGCACUCAAAUUUCUUUCCCCCCACCGCCUUGCCUGCUCCCUCACCAUCCGGCUGGAGGAAGUAAGGCUCCUCGUGAAGAGCCUCUAUGAGGUAGCCACGGCAGCGGUAGGGGGUGGCGGAUUCGCGAGGGUGGAAAUGAGGUCGAGGCUGGAGGAGAUGUCCUUCAACAUCAUCAUGAGGAUGAUCUCUGGGAAGCGCUGCUUUGGGGCUACCGUCGGUGCGGGUGACACCAAGGUGGCCAGGCAGUUCGUGGAGUUGAUGAAGGAGACAUUCGAGCUGAGCGGGAUGGAGCCCGGUGAUUUCUUGCGGGUGCUGAGGAGGGUAGUGGACUUCAAGGGGAGAGAACGGAGGAUGGUGGACGUGGCUAAGAGGUCCGAUGUGAUCUUGCAGGGCAUGAUAGAUGAGCUCCGGUCAAGAAGGAAGAGAAGCGACAGCGGUCGAGAGGUGGAGAGCGAGACGAUGAUCGAUUCCAUGCUGUUGGAGGGCUACUCGGACGACAUCAUCAAAGGCCAAAUCUUGGUAUGUGCAUAACACAUGUUCUGUUGACUUGACUUAUGCAUGUACAGUGAGAUGGUUCUUCAAUAUUUACAUUUCUGACUUUGACUGAAGUCUUUCGGUGCUCACCAACAGAAGAAAAUAGGAGUGACAAGUCAUUUGUUGCAGUAUCGCCUUGCGAGCUUAGAGUGGUAAGAACACGUGGGUUUGUUUGGAAAUAAGGGCAACGAGAGGUGAAGGGAGCAAAUGGACAAAAAAUUGACUCGCCUCCCAAAAAAAAAAAAAAAAACCAUCAUCUAUGCCCCUUAGGUUUGAAUGAUGGUUUAGCAUCUUCUAAUACACGUACCUUCAUGAAGUUAGAACGUUAAAAGCGCCGCCUCUUUUUAGCAUUUUACAAAUUUGACAAAUAAUUUAUUUCUUUUCUAUACCUAAUAAAAUGCAAAGCUAGUUUCACAUCUAUGAUUUAAUUUAUUCCGUAAAAGGUCUUGUUUUCUUUUCUAUUUAAGUAUAGGAUUUCUUAAUCAUUAUUGCAUGAUCCUAAUGUACGUGAGCCCGAUACAUAUGUACCGUUGAAUCAUAUGGUCUCAUGUGGAAUCCUUUUCAUCCACUGGUUCAAUGACUUGGGCUUAUAUCCGAGAGACUUAUAUGCACCAAUGUUCUGCAUUUUUUUUUUCGCUUCAAUAGUGGCUGCUAUCUAAUUUGUCGUUGAUUACAAAGUAGAAAGAAGAGAAAGGACAAAACGAAAGAGCUCUUAUAGGGCGCAAUAUGCGUAGAAUUGUCAAUUACAAAAUUUGUUUGAUCUUCUAUCCUGUGCGCAGAAAAUGAUUGAGGUCAAAUUCUAUUUUUCUUUCCUGAACUUACGCAUGUUUUUCAAAUCCGAUCGAUUCGAGCUAAGUACCCGUCGAACCAUGCCGAAGUCUGUCGUCAAGAAAACUGUCACCAUUGACAAGCCACCGUAGAACAUCACUUCUACAUCUACAUGAUGCGUUAAAAAAAAAAAGUUUGCACUUAUACAUGAACAAGACCAUAAGAGCGGCCAAUUACCCUUUCCUUUGCAUUUUCCUCUUUACGUCUGAAUCCGAUUGUUCUUUAGUUUGGAAAACAAGUUUUAUCUAUUUUUUAAACUAUUGAGCAUACUUUGUUACUUAAACACAAUUUGUGGUAGUCAAUACUAAGUGCAGGCACGGACACAUCCACAGUGACAAUAGAAUGGGCCAUGUCUCUCCUACUCAACCAUCCAGACGUCAUGAAAAAAGCUCAAGCAAAAUUAGACGACAUUGUUGGCCGAGACCGUCUAGCUAAUGAAGCAGACAUCCAGAAGCUACCUUGCCUUCAAAACAUCAUCAAUGAGGUGCUUCGAUUGUUUCCGCCGGCACCACUCCUAGUGCCUCAUGAGUCUGCUGAGGAUUGCAUGGUCGGAGGGUUCAACGUGCCCCGAGGCACCAUGAUCCUAGUAAAUGCAUGGGCAAUUCAGAGAGACCCAAAAGUGUGGGAUGAUCCCACAAGUUUUAUACCAAAGAGGUACCAGGGAUUGGAAGAGGAUCAUGCUUACCGGUUGUUGCCUUUUGGGAUGGGGAGGAGGAGUUGUCCCGGUGCUGGCCUUGCCAAUAGAGUGGUGAGUUUGGCUCUAGCUGCACUUAUUCAAUGCUUCGAGUGGGAACGAAUCGGUGAAGAGCCGGUGGACUUGUCCGAAGGGAUGGGAAUCACAAUGCCGAAGAGAGAGCCACUGGAGGCUUUGUGCAAAGUGCGUGAAUGCAUGAUUGCUAAUGUUCUCACACGGCUUUGAGAAGGUCAUUCUCCAGCGAAUUUAUUUGGUGAUGUUCAACCUCCAUAAUACUUAUGAACUAAUAUGCAAUAAUAAAGUAAAUUGGUAUGAAUGGAAUGAGGUGGAAAUGAAUGGAGGGAAAAAGACCUCAAAGUAAGAGUGGAAUGGAAUAAGAAUUCUAGUUCUUAUGUCUAGUGAUAAUGUAUUGAUGAAAUGCCCAUUCAUAUGGACUUUCAUUAGGCCUUUGAAAGGUAUCAGAAUACCAUGGACUAUUUUUAUUGUAAGAUGAUAUGUAUGUUUGAAGAAAAGACCUGCGAUUAACUAGAGUUGCUACGUGACUGUCAUCUCCUUGGUGUCCUCUGGAUUUUGAGUUUGAUUGGCAUCUCCUCCAGACAUGAUAUGAGUCCCAAGCAAUUCCAAUGUCAUGGGGUUAGAGGUUACUGUGUAAUUACAAAGAUUUGGUAGUUGCAGACAAAACACGUUGGGCAGCGAUGACGACCAUAGUGGCCGAUGGCAACAGGUGGUGGCUACUAGUGGUGGUAAAUGGUGACUCUACAUGGGACCAUGAUUGAGUGAUCUUUUGUGCGUUUGCAUCAUUAACGUCUCGCCAUGUCUACUUGAAGUGAGUUGCCCAUACCGAUGAUUCGAAUCCGACUAUUAUAAUCGGUACAUAUCUUGCUCCUUGGUGGAGUAAAGCUUUUCUUGAAAGCAUCUCCUUCGGCUCUGUCUUUCCCAGCUUGCCGUAACCCUGCUCUCGCUUUUUCCCGGCAGAUUAGUCUCAAUGAUCACUUUUCGAAAUUCUUGAAGCUAAAUAAAUAAAUAAAUAAAUAAAUAAAUAAAUUCUUGAAGCUUUCUUGGUCUUCCACUGAUAACUUGUCUCUUUCUGGAGAUAACUCUUUAAACUUGGCUUGGUUGGUUGGUUACUUUCCAAAAAUGAAGGUCUCCACGCGUCGUGGUUUGUCGGUCCGGGGUUCUUUUUCUCUGCUUCCACUGGUGCUGCUAGCCGUGAAGAUACGGAAGAUUUGAUGCCCCUCAUUCUUCUGGAACUAGUCAUCUUUAUGUCGAUCGAUCCAGGCCUCUUGAAAUCUUCUAUUUACCCACUUGCUUCUCUUUGAUUUGUUAUUUGACCGGUUAUAUCCCCUGCGGGGAUGGAGUGUAAAUAGAUGUCUUGUUGCUCUAAGUGUGAAAUAGUAGUAAUAAGAAUAGAGAUUUUAAGCUUUUUUCUCUUCCUCAUAAAGAUAGAUAUACCAGAGCUCACCUUGGACAGGCGAUGAAAACUUUGGAGAAAUAUUUUAAUCCUUACCAACUUCAUCUUUUGGCCCCGGCAUUUUGGUCAAAGCAUUUUGGUCCUUGAUUCGUUUGGCCAUUUUACCUAAUGAACACAAUGGUCCGAACUCAAUCAUCAAACUCUCGACUUAGUACAGUAAUGCCUGCAGAUGAGGUGUCCUACCCAUUAAUCUUAUCAAAUAAACUUCUCUUUUUUGUAUAUUUUCGGGAGAUAUAACUGGUCGGGGAAACAUAUUUCAGUUGGUAGAGUGGUGCAAGUAGAUGUGCCUCGGGAAAGGAUUUUUUCUUUUUCCUUUUUUCCAAUUGAACAACCUUCCUCUCCAUUGUACUGCAAAAAUGGAAGCCAGCCUUGGGUCACUGACCUCAACGUCCAGUCCAUCAACGAUUUCCUCAGUAUCCCGAAACAAACAAACAGCUUUGUCGAUGACCAAAAGGCAGGAUGAUUCUACGAAUGCCUAAAUUACUGUCUAUUUGCAAUUGUCUUUAUCUUAAAUCUGCGCUCAGGUUUAUUAAAAGUAUCUAAGGUGCAGAUUCAGAACCUUGUAAGAGUAUUUGACUUGUGAAGCCCGCGUUGAAGCCAAUUCGAUCCAUCUGGCAAAUUUUGACCAACCGACUGGUGCUGAUAUGGAUGCCGACUAUUCUACGUGGUGCGGCCGGCGCUGACAUGGAUGAUUUUAAAUAUUUUUCAAAUUACUUAUUUAGGCUCAUAUUAUUUUCAUCCUUAUGUUGACUCCUGACAUCCCUAUCAUAUCAAAUUGACUAUACUAACCCUUACGGAUUCCACUCUUAAUUUAAAAUUAUUUCUUACUAUUUUUCCCUUUGUUAUUGGCUCCUAACAUCCCUCGUCACAUUGAAUUAACUAUAUUACCCCUUGCGGCUCCCGCCCUUAAUUUAAUAUUAUUUCUUACACUUUUUUUUUCAAUUUUAAUAAAAGAAAAACUUACCCACAUCAUCUUCAAACAACUUUUUUUCACCCUAACCAAUUCUUUCUAGGGGUGGCAAAUGGGUGGGUCGGGUCGAAAAUGGAUCGACCCAUAUUUGACCCAUUUAACUUGUUUUGACCCAUAUUCUUAUAGUGUAAAUCUAGUGACCCAUACCCAACCCGACCCGUACCCGACCCAUAUUUGACCCGACUUGUAUUGCUAAAACCUAUUAAUAUUCUAGGAAAACCACCUUCUACUAUAUGCUAAUUGGAUUAAAACUUCAAAUUAAAUUAAAAAUAAUAAAUAAAAUAAAAUUAAAAAAAGUUAAGAAAAACCUAUAAAUUGAAGUAUUUAUAAAAUUUUUUAACUAAACCUAAAAAAGAUCAUUUUUAUGAUUUUUUUUUAUAAAAAAAGUAUUGUUAAAACAUUUUUAUGCAAUACAAAUUUUUUAACAAUUUUUAUGCAAUACAAAUUUAAUGGAAAAAUUUUAUAAUUCUUUUUAAAAUAUUUUUUAAAAAAUCGAUUUUUUACUUUUUUUAAAAAUAUAAUUUUAAUUUUUAAUAAUUAUUUUUUCUUUUUCUCUUUUCUUUUUUCUUCUUCUUCGGCCGAUCGCUGGCCAUGACGAUGGCCAGCGACUGGCCAUAGGUGAGGCCAAGCCUUACAAGUCGUUGGCGAGACUCGAGCUCGCCGGCGUCGGGUGGGGUUCCAUCUCGCCAAUCUGGCGAGGCUGAGGCCUCGCCUGACGCCGGCAAGCUCGAGCCUUGCUUGGCCUGCUGUCAGCCGCCAGCUAAGGAAGGAAGAAAAAGAAAGAAAAAAGAAAUUGAAAUAUGAAAAAUAAUUAUCAUUUCGAUUUUUUUUUAUAAAAAAAAUAUUUUUAUAAAAUUAAAAUAGGCCAUGGGAUUAAAAUUUAAAGUGGGUUUCCUAAUAACCAUUUAGACCCAUUUCUUUUUGUGUUUUAUUUUUUCAAAUCAAUUUCUGACCCAUAUUUAACUUUUACUUGACUCAUAUAUAAUCCAUUUAACUAAAAAUGGGUCAUAAUAUAGGUUUAUGACCCAUUUUGCUAGCUCUAAUUCUUUCACAACUGUUACAUUUAAAUGUUUCGUUCAUGUUUGUCUUCUUCAGAACUUGCCUUCCAUUAUCAUAACUUGAGUAGGCACUAAUCAUAUAUUAGAGUAAAGAAGUGUUAAUUUUAUUUGCAAAUUGUUUACUUUAUUUAUGUGCAAAUUUUUUGACUACGAAUUUUGGCACAUAAUUUAUGAGAAAUCAUUCAAAGAUUGAAUAUUGUGGAUGUUGUAUACAUUAUAGGUAAUUUACUCAAAGAUUAUGCUCCUACUUGUACUUAAAUUACUUUUUGGUGACAUAAUCAAGUGAAAGGUUGACAUCAAGUCGUGCCUUGGCAGGAUUGUGUUUCAUGUAUGUUUUGAAAAAUGGAUGUGAGUAGAAAGUAUGACAUGACAUAUAAUGCCCACAUCAUAUGAUGACGUGUCAUGUAAGGAUAUGUUAUGGUAACAAUAAUGAAUCAUGUGGCAAGCAAAUGUAUGAGCGGAUAUUUGUCGAGAUGACAUGAGCGACCAUAUCACUACUUUGAGCCGACUUAUUUGGGCAUGUAUAUUGUCUCAAAGGAUGCAAGUGACUGCUUCAUAGCAACUUUCCCUUAUAGCCGGUUUUGAAAAAUAAAACUUUUUCGCCGAAAUUUUUAUGACUUUUCCGAUGAGUUUGUUAACAAAUGCACUUGUUGCCCUUGUUAAUUAAUUAAUUAACAAAAUAUUUUGUCUUUCAAUUAGAUGACGUCAAUGGGCAAGUUCGAAACGAGCUUGUGAACCUGGCAUAUUUUGUUGCCUAGGCCUGCCGUGACAAAAAAUCUAUGUACAAAAUUAUCGGGCCGAACCGGAUUGGACAAAGUUUAAUAACUAAUUAGCUUUGCAAAAGCCCUCCGAAGAGGGCCUCUUUGGGCCUUUGUUACUUAGGCAUGCCGGUGGUGUGUAAAUUGUCCAAAAAGCCAUAAACCUAUUGUACUUUGACCAAUUUAAUUUUAAAUAUUUUAAUUCCAUGAAUUAAGUCCUAAACAUUUUUGCGUUUUGUAUUGAGUUAAUCCAACCAAUUUUAGCCGGAAAUCUUUGACAUCGACGUUGAUGGUCUUAUGUGGCAAGGGCGACGCUAAUGGGGAUAAUGUUUAUAAUUUAUUUUGUAAAUUUCUUCUUUUUCUUUUAUUUAGUUUCCUUUUUUCCCCACCGGUCAACCCUCGUCAGUAGAAAGAAAGAAAAAGAAAAAAGAAAGAAAGAAAUAAUAAAAAUAUGGUCCACAUUAGUACUGAUUGUCCUUCGUGGCACUACCCAUGUCGACAUUAGCGAUUUUUUUUGUUAAAAUUGGCCAUAUGGACUCAAUUGGCAAAACGUGAGAAUAUUUAUGAUUCAAUUGAUAUAAUUAGAAGAUUUAAGAUUGAAUUAAUCAAAGUGUAAUAUAUUUAUGAUUUUUUGGACAAUUCUUUUUACGGGUGGCCAUUGGACUCAUAAUCAGGUCCAUUAUCAAUUUUCUAGCCUCAAAUUUGAUUUAAUCAUCAUAUGAUCUCCUGGAUAAAUGACAUAGGGUUCGAUCGAGUCUAAUUAAGGUUUUCUUUUUGGACAUAGCUGGAUAACAUCAGUAUUAUUUUCAAAAAGUCAAUAUUUUUAGGGUUAAUACCCUAAAAAACCCCAAACUGGUACACUUGUGACAAAUUUAUCCCAAACUAUUUUUUAGACCAUGAAAAACCUCAAAUUGAUACAUUUGUGACAAAUUUACCCCGACUGACCAUAAAAAACCAUAAAUUUAUACAUUUAUGACAAAUUUACUCUAAACUAUUUUUUUUUUUGGUAAAGUCUAAACUAAUUUAUUCGAUCGCAAAAAACCCCAAACUGAUAAAUUUGUGACAAAUAUACCCUCCGCUAAAUUAGAUUAAUACCACAAAAAAAUCACAAAAAUUGUAAACUGUGACAAACGACGCAUAAAAUCCCAAAUCAGUAUAUCAAUCAACUAUCACGUGUAAUUUAACUUAAUAAUUUGACGGUAACAUUUAACGAAAACUAAUAGAGGGUAAAUUUGUCACAAAUGUACCAGUUUGGGGUAAAUUUAUCAAAAGUAUACCAGUUUAUGGUUUUUGAUGGUUAAAAAAAUAGUUUGGGGUAAAUUUGUCACAAGUAUACCAGUUUGGGGUUUUUCGGGGUAUUAACUCAUAUUUUUAUAUCGACGACAUAACAACGUGUUUUAAAUCAAAGGUGCCAUAAUUUCCACAAUAUGACACAUUACUUUAGGCUAGAAAAUUUUGCUAGAAUAUUGUCAGGUGUGGGAGGUUGGGUGGGAUUUUCCGUCGAAAUGCACCAUAGUUUAGGUGUCGGGACCUAAGAUGGAACCAGGAUUGAGUCCAGUGGGAUUUUGGGGCAUCUCAUGCCGAACCGCAGGGCCUGAGUGCCCGGCCUUGCACCUUCAGCAUGCAACCCGCGGACGCCGGGUUACGACAUCGAACUCGAACACGACAACAUGUCUGACGUCAUAAAACAAUAUCAUUAUAUGUUUCGAUAUUUUCGGGCUUAAUUACCACCGCACGUUCCUGUAAUUUUACUGUUACAAACGACACGUGAUAAAGAAGUGUGCCGACUCCCAGGCUGGAGUGCCUCGGAAAUUGGUAUCCGAUCGCUGGGAAGGAUAAGGCAUGGCUAUUUCCAUUUGGUUUCUUCCACAAUCCAAAGGGCCACAAGGUGAAGAGCACCAUGAUCUUCGACCUUGUCGUUUUUGCCCUUCUUGUAUGAUGAAUAGUCAAUGUUCGGCCCAUCAGUCUUCACGUCUCGAAAGGAGUGCGAAGGACGGAACCGUUCGUGUCCAUUCAUAAGUGUGAACUCAUCCUCCGAACAACUAGUGGUUGAAACAAAAAGAGAAACGAUUAGAUGAUAAUUUAUAAUUUAUUGUGAGAGUAACAAUUUAUUUUAGAUAAUAAAAAAAUCAAAUUAUAGAUAACUAUAAAUUUUUAUGGGAAUUUGGGAUUCACAACAAAUUUCAAGCAUAAUAUGAUUGAUUUUUUUUUGUCAAACAUAAUUAUGAUUGAUUAUACAAUUCCUUUUUUUUAGAGAAAAAACAAUUUUAAAAACAUUUUUUGAAAAUGAUUAUUUGAAUUGCUUGAAAUAAAUUCAUCAAUAAUAAAUGUUUUUAUUAUCAAUAACAAUUUAUGUCGCGAAUGAUGACAAUAUUUUUCGUCAUUCAUUUUUGUAAGUGAUUUAAGUGAUCAAUUUUUUUUUUUUUGGGAAAAUACUUUUCAAAUCAUUUAGGUUUUGCGAAAUAAACACACCAUAUGUUUACAUCUAAUUGAGAAAAAUGCAUUAGAACUCUUGCAACUUCUCUUCGAGUGUAAUGUUAUUAUGAGUUUCUUUAUCAUGCAAUUAAAUUAAUUUUUUUUUAAAUUGAGGCGGUCUAGUAUUUAAUAAAUCGGACUUCUUUAUUAGGUUAAUUAAAAUUUUGGGUUUUGCUAGCAUAAUACUUUUUAGGCUAUUGUGAGAAAAAUAGUUUGUUAUGAAUCAUAAAUUUUGAAGAAGUUGACUCAACAAUAAUUUAUAUUUAUUUGUUAUUUGAUUUUUUGUUGUUCAGAAUAGAUUCUUAUUCUUAUAGUAGAUUAAAGAUUGUCACACAAUCGUCUCUCUAAAAUUUUAGAGAGGCUUUUUUUUUUUUUUUUGUUACUUCAUUUCUCCGUGGUCAAAUAUUUGAGGAAUCGACAUUUUUGGUAACUUUCCUCAUUUAAAGCCUAACUUCUAAAUUAAAAUUCAGACCUAUCGUCGAAUGGCUUUAAUUUUUUUUUUAAUGUCUUGCGUUUGCAAUUAUAUGGCUUUCUUUUUCAACUGCGACUUGCAGAUUGCAGUACACCGUUUUUGCUUUUUUAUUUUUGGCCAGAUUCCGCAAACACAUUUUGUAAUAAACGGUUGUUGCUGCACAUAGAAGUGAUUUAUUUGUUUACUUAGUUUAAAAUAAUUUAUUGACAUGAUCCGGUGAUGAGUCGCUGGUAGUAUUGCACUGUCUUGGUGAAGCUAAAUUUGAAAUUUUAUGCGAAAAUGUGUGGCGGGUCUGGAUCGGACUCUGGCAACAAUAUAGUUAUUGGGAUAUAUUUGGGAUCAGACUAACCAACCCAAAUUCAUGAUAUGUCAGAGAAUCUUGCCUAGAAAUAUUUGUAUGGAACUUAUUAAGUAUAUUAGAAGACACUGGCAAUUAGUUUAGAAAUCACUAAACAUAGGCUUACAUGAAUUUAUUUGACACAUGAUCAUUUUAAUUUAUUGAGUGUCAUAUACGUGUUGGCACCCCAAAAAAAUUGUCAACUUCGAUGUCAAAGAGUUAAUAAGAAUUGAUGCCUCUCACAAUACGUUGAUUAUGGCUUUGAAUAUGAUACUAAAUCAGGCCAAUUUAAUGAUGAAGUGCUAAGACUAUUGAGGCAAAGAGGAAUUUCUCAGGUUGGAUCGUAGUGAUAAAGUAGAGUCUCGAGUACAUAAAGUCAAGUCCGAUUAUGAGUAUGGACUGAUUAAUAGAACAUGAUGGGUAUCAAUAAGGAAGGGGUAAACAAUAUAUUGACCAACACAAGUGAUGUGAUAUAGACCACGUAUAAAAUGGACAGUCAAACGGAUGUUGAUUCUAAGAAGCAAAUAGAAUUAGGUUGACAAUGGGGAACGUGUUUGACUGAUAGCUGAGUCGACGUCAUUCAAGUCAAAGUCAUUCAUGGCGAGCAACAUUGACAUCGAUUCACCAAGUUUGGCUGAAAUCAAUUUGACUACAGGGAUGAAAAUAGGGGGAACAGGUUAAUCGUAGUCGAAGUCUUAGGCGGUAGCAAUUAUCAAAGGUGUUGUUUGAAAGUUGUAGAAAUACAAUUAUUGUAGCCAAGUCAAUUAGUUGUCACGGUCGAGUUUCCUGAGCGAGAAAAAUUAUACAAUCAAAUAUGUAGUCAAAAUCUGAUUUUAAUGAGUGGGCACAAUUUACUAAUUGGUGCGAGAGCCCGGGAUAUAUCAAUCAAUUCGUAAGCUCAAUUCAUACCUUGUCGAUUAAUUCAGCUCAAUCAUUUUGUUUAGAAGCAAAGGCCAAUUUUGGCUAUAGUUUGAUUCGAUGGGUUUGCAGAUGUCAAUUAUGUGUUAGUUAACGAUUUAAUGAAUUAGUUGUCGCUUUCAUGGUUAUUGAUUAACUAUGAAGAUAUCAAUACACAAGUUUGAAGUCGAUUUUGAGACUGCUAAUCAACCACAUAGCAAUUGGGGAUUCUUUUGAUCUAUUUGCAUCGAUGUCGGUUGAUCUUCCAAGAUGUUUAUUGGGCCACUAAGGUUGGAGAACAAAACUAGAGUCUAAGUUUAAUUACUUUGCAUCUAGUAAAUGUAUUUAGUCAUAGUUUUAUGAGUCUUAAGUGUGUCAUAGGUUUCAAGAGUCAAAGUUCAAGUUCUUAUAUGUAUAAGUGCAUUUUCUAGUUCAAUAUUUUUAUCGAGCUUUCUAGUUCCCGUGUCUUUAUUAGUUUAAUAGUUCCAAGAUGUAUUUGGUCAUGGUUAUAAGUCAUGGAUGUAGAGAUAACAAAUAAUAUAGGCAACAUGAAGUUUUGUAUCCCAAUUUCUAUGAAUAAUUUGAUAGGUGUUACUCUGCCAUUGAGAAAUGGUAUGAGGGGUUAAAAAUUUGACCCAACGUACCUUGUAGAACUUACCUUGUAAAACUUCUUACUUCUUACAUCUCUCUACCCGUCCUCUCUCUCUCUCUCUCUCUCUCGGAGCCUCCAUCACAUGCUCAUAGAAGACGCGUGGGUGUACAUUCUUUCAGCAUCCUCCUUCCUCUUCCUUCUCUUCUUGUUCAAAUUGCAGGGAAGCAACAAGAGAAAUGUCCCACCGAGUCCAUCCUCACUCCCCAUCAUCGGCCGCCUCCUCCUCAUGAAAAAGCCGGUCCACCGGCCUCUCUAGUCCCUCUUCGACUGCUAGGGCCUGGUCCUCUCGCUCUCCUUUAGCUCCCAGUCCGCAGUGGUCGUAUCCUCCCCAUCGGUCGCUGAGAGUGCUUUACCAGGAAUGACAUCGUCCUCGCCAAUUGCGCCUGCAGGCUCUUCGCCGAGAUUAUGGCCGACGGCCAGACCACCAUUAGCACUGCCUCUUACGGUCUCCACUGGCGAAGCCUCCUUUGUCUCACGGCCUCCAAAUCCUUUCCCCGCACCACCUUGCCAGCUCCCUUGCUGUCCGGCUAGAGGAAUUCAGGCUCCUCGUGAGAAGCCUCUAUGAGGCAGGGGGCGGCGGUUUCGCGAGGGUGGAGAUGAAAUCAUUAGGCAGAUGAUCUCCAGGAAGCGUUACUUCGGGGUUGCUGCUGACGCGGACAAUGCCGAGGUGGCCCAGCGGUUCAGGGAGGUGAUAACUGUGAUAACUGAGUUAUUCGAGCUGAGCGGGACAAACCCUGACGAUUUCUUGCCAGAGUUGAGUAGGGUAGUGGACUUCAAGGGGAGAGAGCAGAGGAUGGUGGACGUGGCCAAGAGGUCCGAUGUGAUGUUGCAGGGGAUGAUAGACGAGCUUAGGUCGAGAAGGAAGAGAAGUGACGGUGACCGAGAGGUGGAGAGCAAGAUGACGAUCGAUUCCAUGCCGUCGGAGGGCUACCCGGACGACAUCAUCAAGGGCCAGAUCCUGGUAUGCGUAUAACACAAGUUCUGUUCACUUGAGUUCAUGCAAGGAGUAUAGAUAAAAGUACAAAUAAAGCCUUAAACCUAUUACAGUCAUACAAUUUCAAUUUUAAACUUUUUAUUUGUGUCAAUUGAGUCUUAUAACAUUUCUCAUUUUGUCAAUUGAGUUUAUUCGACUAAUUUUAUUCGACUAAUUUUGGCCAAAACUUCUAGUAUGGAUAUGUGGCAUGUUUGGCAUCAACGUUGAUAUUUUUAAUUAUUUUUAAAAACAUUUUCAACUUUUUAAUUUUUUUCUAUUUAAUUUUUUCUUUUCUUAUUUUUUCCUUGAUUUUGGGCCAGGAUGCCUUUGCUGGCCCUAAGUCUAGAAUAAAAAAGAAAAGAAAAGAAAAGAUUUAUUAAAAUGUCACUUAAAAAUAUUAACGUCAAUGACAACUAUGUCACAUGACUCAGCCGAUGUCUAAUUUAGCGAUUUUCGACCUAAAAAUUGAUCAGAUGAAGUCAAUUGACAAAUGUGAAAAUAUUUGGGAUUUAAUUGGCGAAAUUAAAAAGUUUAAGAUCGAAUUAACAUAGUUGUAAUAUGUUUAGGAAUUUUUUUGGUAACUUUCUCCUUUAUGCAUGUAUAGUGAGAUGGUUCUAUAUUCUUUAUUGUCUUGCCAAAAUAGGAAAAACGAGCCAUUUGUUGGGAUAUUGCUCGGUGAGUUUAACGUGGUAAGAACGCGCGUGGCUUUGUUUGGAAAUAAGUGAAACGAGGGAUGAUGGAGCAGAUGAACAAAAAUAGGACCACUCCCGUAACAAGGCCUUUUCUUUGACCCUCAUAUAUAAGACCGUUAAAAAUGACAGCUCCACAAAUCUAACUGUCUAUAUUAACAUAAGAGAUAGGGCAUGAAAGUUCUAAAAUUUGUUAUGAAAGUGUAAUUCAGUCUUAAAAUUUGUAAAAUUACAAAAAAUGUAAUUGAGGUUUAAAACUUGUCAUAUUAAUUCAAUCAAAUCUUUAGUUUAAUUUUAUCCAAUUUGACUAACAAAAAAAGUUGACGUAACUUUUUAUUAUUAUUUUCAUUAUAUUAUAUGGUGAUGACAUGAUUAAAAUGAUGUUAUUUUAGUUUAAAAAUGAGUUUUAAUACAAAUUUUAUUUAAAUUAAAUUUAAAAAAUAAGCUAAAUUUAAAGAAAAGGAGAAACCAAGCUGGGAAGACUGAUCGACCAAAAAAAAAAAAAGCCUGGGAAGACUGCAAGCUCUUGCUGUCGCCACCCCCACCAUCAGCAGAAAGCAUUGGUGAGGGUGCAAGAUGGCCGGCAAUCCUUGUUGGUCCUUCUUGGCGAUGGUGGGGAGGGUUGCAAUCUCUCUCUCUCUCUCUCUCUCUCAUAUAAUUUAGCUUAUUUUUAAAAAUUUAAUUUAAAAAAAAUUGUAUAAAACAACGUUUUGGUCUUAUGUUUCAUGAUUCAGAUACGUCACCACCACGUAGGAGAAAGAAAAUAUAUAUAAAAAAAAAGCUACGCCAAUAUUUUCUAUUAGUAAAGUUGGAAAGAGUUAAUAAAAGUAUUUGAUUGCACUAAUUUGAUAAGUUUUAUGACUUGAUUGCACUUUUUAUAUGUUUUAGGAGUCAAUUGUACCUCCAUGACAAGUUUUAGGAUUUCUUAUGCAUUUAUCCUUCAAUUUAAUUGUUUUUAUUAUGCUCGAUAGAGGCCAAUACUGAUUUGACAAAGAAUAGAAGAAGGAGAAUUGCCUUUUCCUUUUUCUCUUAUGUGGUAUAUCCACUUAAAGGUCACAUACUUCUUUUCUAUUUUGGUAAUAGUCAUCUUUCUAAUUUAUCAUUGCACGAUCCCUGUGCAUGUGAUUGAGAUAUUGAUACCUCAUUGGAUCAUUUGACUAUCAUAUGGAGCCCAUCUCUUAAGAUGCAUGUGAGUUGGGGAUCAUGCCAACACUUUUCUUUUCCUAGAAUGGUAACUGCUAUUUAAAUUGUCCACGCCAUACUCUAGCAGAUAUCUAUGUUAGCUUGAGUUGAUCAAAAUUGGGGACUCCUUCAUUAUAAAAUUUAUGCAAGUCAAAUGAUUUUACUAGUAAAACUUGUGGAGUACAGGUACUGGCUAGUCGAAUUACAUUUAUAUCUGCAUGAUGCAUUUUACAUAAAUUUUGGAGUUUACAUGAAUAAGACCAUGAGAGCGACCAUUUAUAGAUAUUGACUCGCAACUGAACCUUUUCGUUUGCAUUUUCCUCUUUUUCGUCUGAUCUUAGAAACCAGUUUCAUCUCUCUUUGAAACAACUAAGCAUACUUAGUUGAUAAUCUAACUAUGAUUCGCGGUAGACAAUCCUAGGUGUGGGCAUGGACACAUCUGCAGGGACAAUAGAAUGAGCCAUGUCCCUCCUACUCAACCAUCCAGGCAUGAUGGAUGAAGCUUGAGCAGAACUAGACAAUGUCAUAGGCCAAGACUGUCUAGCCAAUGAAGCAAACAUCCACAAGCUGCCGUUCUCCAAAACAUCAUCAAUGAGGCCCUCUGAUUGUUUCCGCUGACGCCGCUCCUAGUACACCAUGAGUCCUCAGAGGAUUGCACAAUUGGUGAGUUCAAUGUGCCCCGAGGCACCAUGGUCUUAGUAAAUGCAUGGACUAUUCAAAGAGACCCAAGAGUGUGGGAUGAUCCAACAAAUUUCAAACCAGAUAGAUAUGAGGCAUUGGAAGGGGAUCAUGCAAACCAGUUGUUGCCGUUUGGGAUGGGGAGGAGGAGUUGCCCCAGAGCUGGACUUGCCAAUAGUGGUGGGUUUGGCUCUAGCGGUGCUUCUUCAAUGCUUCGAGUGGGAACGAAUCGAUGAAUAGCAAGUGGACUUGUCAAAAGGGAUGGGACUCACAAUGCCCAAGAGACAACCAUUAGAGGCUAUGUGCAAAAGUGUGUGAAUGCGUGAUUGAUAAUGUUCUUGCACAACUUUGAGAAGGUCAUUCUCCAAUGAAUUUAUCUUGGUCAUGUUCAAAUGCUCAAAUGCCGUAAUGCCUAUGAACUAAUAUGUAAUCGAGUCAAUUAGUUUGUUGCGAAACAAAGCUGAAAGAUGCACUAAGCGAAGUUUAAGUAGUAAAGGAUAAAAGAAAAAUCAAAGCCAUAUAAGACACAAGAUGUAUGUAGAGACUCAAAAUGGGAAAAAUCAUGAGGAGAGAGAGGCAUUUCACUAUCUUCAACAAUGAGUAUAGAAGUACAAUCCAAAAGUUGUAAAAAUCUCUUGAUAAGCCACAAGAUCUAAAGAUCCAGCAAGAAGAUAAAAAAAUAAAAGAAGAGAAAUAAUGUAGAAGUUAGGAUUAGAGGUGUGUUAAUAAACACAUCCUUUAAUAAUCUUUAUUCAAAAAACCUUGAAACAAAUAUACACAGUCCAAAAUCUUAUCACUAGUUUUUUUUUUUUUUUUGUCAGUCCUACUCUAUUCCUACUCUACACUCACUCUCAGACUUUUGCCCUGCCUCUUGCAGGGCGUGGGAGUCGAAGCCCGCUCCUGAAACUUAUGCGUCCCCACCCCCAUCCCCCUUAGUUUGAAAGUUAAAACUCGACACAGUUACCUAUAGUAAAGCUCCUGAGAUAGGAGCAACUAUACAUUCAAAGGAGCUGAAAUUUGAUUUCACUGAGUGGGAAACGUUUAUUAAGAGAGGCCAGCCACCCACGGGUUAUAAAAGGAGCGCUUCUAAAGAGGAAAGGACAUGCGCAACCAUACAAAGAACAAAAUUUACUUCUGUCAAUGCACUUUACUUACAAUUUAUCUCCAGUAAUUUUCUAGAAAUUUCCUGUCCCUAAAGAUGUUUAUUUUCUGUUGUUAAUCAAACACUUGCUCUUAUUCUUUCUAAGAGAUAUGUGUUCUCUUUCCUACGACACAAUUGUUCAUCAAUUCGAAGUGAGAAAUAUCUGACCAAGAUUUGAUCAAUCAAAGUGUGAUAAUAUUUAUCGUCAUUCAACAAUUUAAAGGGAGUAAUUUUCAAGCAAACAUGGCCUUAUUAGCAAAAUUAAAAAGAAUUUCUUUUGGUAAGUAAAUUAAAAAGAAUUUCCAAUGACCAAUGUACAAAAAAAAAUAAUAAUCUCAAUGUGUCCAAUAACUACUUAUUGUAGUUAUGAGUCACGAAUGUAGAAAUAACAAAUACGUUCUAAUUAUAAUUAUGAUAUAUGGAGUAUUACAUUUGUUAAUAUAUGUUUCAAGUUUGAGUUCAAAGAAAAUAUAUAAAUUUUAGAAAUUAAAAAAUAAAAGGAAAUCGAUGCCCUAUUUGAUAACAUUCCAAAUAAUGCUUGAUUCUAUUUUUUUUUUUUUGGUUCCCUGGAACAAAAAAAGAAUAUAAAUCCAUUUGAUAAAUUUUUUAUUCUUGAAAACAAUUUUUUUUAUCCAAUAGAAUAGAUUUAAAAUAGAACCAAGAAGUUAAAAAAAGUAGUUUUUGUUUUCGAAAAUGAUUUCAUAAUCAAGUCCAACUUUUUCUUUUUUCUCUUUUCUUUUAUUCUUUUCUACUUCUCCUUUCUUCUUCCUCCUAAUCGGUCCCAGGCCACUGUCGUCUCUACCGACGAUGGCCGGUGAUCAAUUGGGUGAGAUCCAAUGAGUUCGUCAUAGGCUCGCUUGGCCAUUGCGAGCAUUGGCCUAUUAGACAUGGCGAGGCCAAGCUUCGUCGAUGGCCAAGCCAGCCUUCGGCGAGUUUGUCGGACCUCACCCUGGCCUGGUAAGACUUUGGCGAGCUUGCUGGACCUCGCUCAACUGAUUAUCGGCAGCCACAAAGAAAGAGGAAGAAGAAAAAAAAAAGGAAAAGAAAAAAGAGAAAGAUAAGAAAAAUAUAAUAAAAUUUUUAAAAAAUUAAAAAGAAAUAAAAAUGUUUAAAAGUUUUAUCAAAUGCAUUUUUAUCCCAAAAAUAAAAAUUUUGAACAUUUACUAAAUGUUUUAAAAUGCUUAUAAAUUCAUUUAAAGAAUGGAAUUAAGAAAAUUUAUUUUUGAAAACAGAAUAAUUAUUAAAUACAUUCUUACGGACGAGGGAUAUGUACGGAAAUUGGGUUAGUGUUGGAGCGCUAAAAGACUGAAAUUUCUCUCAGCUAAUUAAAUGAAGGGGCACUACAAGACCGAAAAGGGGCCCACAAUUCCCAUAUAGAUAUCUACCUGUACGUCUGCAGCCAUGUCUUUUGUCAGGGAAAGGAAAGGAAAGGUAGCUGAAAAGCAGGGGUUUGCUUUUCUCCUCCCCCACCUCCGGUCGCCGCGUUAAUAUAUAAAGAAUAAAAAAUGAAAGUGCCCAUGUUCAUUAAAACAAAAAUAGGAUGCAGUCUAUGGCUAAGCUUGAUUCAAAUUUUACAAAUAGGCUUUUGGGUAUUAAUGUAAUAAAUGCCGAAAAUCAAAUUUUUUUAGAGAAAUGUAAAUUGCGUUUGGAAAAAAUUAGUGUUGGCAAAAAAAAAAAAAUUGACAAGGGAUUUUGCCUGCGUUUUUUUUAUAUUUUAUAUUAAAUUAAAUUCAAAUCCUUCGCCAGAGUCUAUGAAGGGCUUAGGCGGACAGUAAGCCAAAUUUAGGGUCAACGGUUAUCAAUUGAGCUCACAUGAGACCUAGGUGAGGGCUGUUUGAUGUCGUGUGCCUCGGUAAGGGGCUAAGGGUUGCGCAAGACCUAGGCAAUUGUCGCCUAGGGUUGCACAACCUUGGGUGAACGUCGCCAGAGGUCAUGUCACCCGGGGUGUCGAUCCUUCACCAGCCAUAUUCGGCCUUCUUCGGCCAUCCUCACAUGAAGAAGACAAAUAAUUAUAAGGAGGGAAAAAUUAGAAAACUAAUUAAUUGGCAAGGGUAGUUUUGGAAGAAAAAAUAUUUUAAUUUUAAUUUCAACAUUUUGCAAAUGCUACUUUGGAAUGCCAGUGGCUUUUCAACAUUCCCAAAUCUUACAUUUGGUCGAAAAUUAUUUCAAAAUAUUUGCCAAACAUCCCAGCAUUUUCCCAAGGGGCCAUGCCAAGGGGUAUUGAGGUUGAAAACCUAUUGAUAAAGCUGAAUCAAACACAUCCUUCACAUAGCGAUAAACAUGCGGAGUCUUGAAGUACCAUUUGAUAGUGAAUUUAUUCAUGAAACUACAUCCAAGAAUUCAAGUGUUUAUAGCUGAUUAAAUCUUGUGGUAACAUUUGUUUAAUUGGUUCAUGAGAUUGAGAAAUUAUUUUGUGAGGAAUUGUAGGGUGAAAUACCGUGUGAGUUAUUGGGUGUAAUUGAAACUUAUAAAAUACUGGGAGUGUUUGAUUGACUCGAGGAUGUUCGUAAUCUUCAUUCUAUCACUUGAUCUAUAAUAAAAUUUAUUAUUGCUCUCCCUGUGGACCACGUUAAGAUAGUAUUCAAUCUAUUUUGUUAUUUUGUAUAUUUUACAUUAGAUCACUUACUUUCGCAUUUAUUUAGAGAGAGAGAGAGAGAGAGAGAGAGUGGGGAGAAAGAUGCGAUAGGUUAGAGGAUUUAUAGGGUUUGCGGGUCUAAUUUUUCACCCUUUAAAAUAAAAUAUGACAUACAACGGUAGUCUCCACUCCACAGCAUCUUCAUGGAAGACAGGUGGGUGUACGUUAGCCUCAGCAUCCUCCUUCUUCUUCCUUCUCUUCUUGUUCAAAUUGCAGAGAAGCAACAAGAGGAAUCUCCUGCUGAGCCCACCACUCCCAAUCAUCGGCCACCUCCUCCUUAUUAAAGAGCCGGUCCACCAGACCCUCCCGUCUCUCUCCGACCGCUACGGCCCGUCCUUUCCCUCUCCUCCGGCUCUUGCUCCGUGGUUGUCAUAUCCUCCCCAUCCGUAGCCAGUGCAACACCACCAUCAGCAUCGCCCCUUAUGGCCCCCAUUGGCCCAACCUCUGCCGCCUCACGGCCCUUGGAAUCCUUUUGUUGCACCGCCUUGCUGGCUCCCUCACCAUUUGGCUAGAGGAAGUGAGGCUACUCGUGAAGAGCCUCUCUGAGUUGACUGCGGUGGCAGUAGGGGGUGGGGGUUCCGUAAGGGUGGAGAUGAGGUCAAGGCUGCAGGAGCUUGCCAUCAACAUCAUUAUGAGGAUGAUCUCUGGGAAGUGCUACUUAGCAGCUACUGUCGACACGAGCAAUGCCGAGGUGGCCAGCGGUUCAUGGAGGUGAUAAAGGAUACACUCGAGCCAAGCGGGACGGACCCAUGCGAUUUCUUGCCGGCACUGAGGAGGGUGGUGGACUUCAAGGGGAGAGAGAGGAGGAUGGUGGACGUGGCCAAGAGGUCCGAUGUGAUCUUGCAGGGCAUGAUAGACGAGCUCAGGUCGAUUCCAUGCUGUGAGAGGGCUACUCGGACGGCAUCAUCAAAGGUCAUAUCCUGGUAUGUGUAUAACACAUGUUCUGUUCACUUGACUUAUGCAUGUACAGUGAGAUGGUUCUUCUCAAUUUAUACUUAUGAGUUUGACUGAAGUCUUUGGGCGCUCACCAACAAAAGAAAAUAGGAAUAACAAGUCAUUUGCUGCUAUACCGCCUUGUGAGCUUAAAGUGGUAAGAACACGGGGGUUCGUCUGGAAAGAAAGGAAACAAGAGGUGAAGAGAGCGAAUGGACAAAAAUAUGACCUACUUCCUAAACAAAAAGGCAUUUCAAUACCCUUAGCUUUGAAUGAUGGUUGAGAAUCUUCCAAUACACGUACUUUCGUGAAUUUAGACCAUUAAAAACGGCAGCUCUUUCUAAGGAUAUUACAAUUAAUUUUUUUUUAAUGGUUGACAAAAUUCAAACUGGUUUCACAUAUAUGAUUUAUAUUUUAAAUAAUCUCGUUUCUCUUUUCUAUUUUGAGUAUAGGGUUGUUUUUUCUUUGUCAUUAUUGCAUGAUCACAAUGAAUGUGAGCCCAAUGCAUAUGCAUUGAUGGACCGUAUAGGGUUGUUUUUUCUAGGGUGGAGUCCUUUCAUCCAAAGUGUAAUGAAUCGGGCUCACAUCCCCGAGAGUGAUGUGUGACAGGACAAUGCAUUUUUUUUCUUCAAUGGUGGCCGCUUUUUAGAUUGUUGUAGAUUUCGAAGGAGAAAGAAGCAUAAAGGACAAAAUUAGAGCAAUUAUAGGGCGCAAUACACGUGGAAAUGUCAAUUACACAAAAUCUUUUGUCGUUUGCACGGAAAAUUAUUUCAUAGCUAGAAAUGGUUUAGACACCGCAAACCCUAUAAAACCAUGUCAUCCCUCUCCCCACUAUAUCUCUCUUCCUCCCCCCCCCCCCCCCCCCCCCCCCAACCCCCCCCCCCCCGGGACACGUAGUCUCCGUAGUAUCUUCAUGGAAGACGUGGGGAUGCACCUUAUCUCAGCAUCCGCCUUCCUUUUCCUUCUCUUCUUGUUCAAAUUGCAGAGAAGCAACAAGAGGAAUCUCCCACCAAGCCUGCCUUCACUCCCUAUCAUCGGCCACCUCCUCCUUAUUAAAGAGCCAGUCCACCGGACCCUUCAGUCUCUCUCCGACCGCUACGGCCCGGUCCUCUCCCUCUCCUUCGGCUCCCGCUCCGUGGUUGUCAUAUCCUCCCCAUCCGC
rnacentral:lncRNA from 1 species